GGCUCAGGACGAACGCUGGCGGCGUGCUUAACACAUGCAAGUCGAGCGGAGAAUAUAGCAAUAUAUUCUUAGCGGCGGACGGGUGAGUAACGCGUGGGCAAUCUGCCUCAUACAGGGGGAUAACACUGGGAAACUAGUGCUAAUACCGCAUAAAAUAGUGAAGUGGCAUCACUUUACUAUCAAAGGAGCAAUCCGGUGUGAGAUGAGCCCGCGUCCGAUUAGCUAGUUGGAGGGGUAACGGCCCACCAAGGCGACGAUCGGUAGCCGAACUGAGAGGUUGAUCGGCCACAUUGGGACUGAGACACGGCCCAGACUCCUACGGGGGGCAGCAGUGGGGAAUAUUGCGCCAAUGGGGGAAACCCUGACGCAGCAACGCCGCGUGAAGGAUGAAGGUUUUCGGAUUGUAAACUUCUUUGAUUGGGGACGAUAAUGACGGUACCCAAAAACAAGCCACGGCUAACUACGUGCCAGCCGCGGC
rnacentral:rRNA from 1 species